rnacentral:rRNA from 1 species
AGAGUUUGAUCAUGGCUCAGAACGAACGCUGGCGGCGUGCCUAACACAUGCAAGUCGUACGAGAAAUCCUGGGCAACUGGGAAAGUAAAGUGGCGCACGGGUGAGUAACGCGUGGGUAACCUACCCUUGAAUUGGGGAUAACUCCUCGAAAGGGGAGUUAAUACCGAAUGAUAUUUCAAUUCCUCAGGGAGUUGGAAUCAAAGGUGGCCUCUGCAUGCAAGCUAUCGUUUAAGGAUGGGCCCGCGUGCCAUUAGCUAGUUGGUAGGGUAAUGGCCUACCAAGGCAACGAUGGUUAGCUGGUCUGAGAGGAUGGCCAGCCACACUGGAACUGAGACACGGUCCAGACUCCUACGGGAGGCAGCAGUGGGGAAUCUUGCGCAAUGGGGGAAACCUUGACGCAGCAACGCCGCGUGGGUGAUGAAGGCCUUCGGGUCGUAAAGCCCUGUCAGGUGGGAAGAAACUUGUGGAUGCUAAUAUCAUCCACACUUGACGGUACCACCGGAGGAAGCACCGGCUAACUCCGUGCCAGCAGCCGCGGUAAUACGGAGGGUGCAAGCGUUGUUCGGAAUUAUUGGGCGUAAAGCGCGUGUAGGUGGUCGGGUAAGUCAGAUGUGAAAGCCUUCUGCUUAACAGAAGAAGUGCAUUUGAAACUGCUCGGCUAGAGUACGGGAGAGGAGAGUGGAAUUCCCGGUGUAGAGGUGAAAUUCGUAGAUAUCGGGAGGAACACCAGUGGCGAAGGCGGCUCUCUGGUCCGAUACUGACGCUGAGACGCGAAAGCGUGGGGAGCAAACAGGAUUAGAUACCCUGGUAGUCCACGCCGUAAACGAUGGGCACUAGGUGUAGGAGGUAUUGACCCCUUCUGUGCCGAAGCUAACGCAUUAAGUGCCCCGCCUGGGGAGUACGGCCGCAAGGCUAAAACUCAAAGGAAUUGACGG